GGAAGAGCAAGCCAACGGGCGAUGGCAGCUGUCUUGAAAACAGCCGAGCGACAAGCCUUGUGAGUUCGACUCUCACCUCUUCCG
rnacentral:tRNA from 1 species